rnacentral:misc_RNA from 2 species
AGCAGCCGCGGUAAUUCCAGCUCCAAUAGCGUAUAUUAAAGUUGUUGCAGUUAAAAAGCUCGUAGUUGAACUUCGGGGUUUACCCAUUGGUCAGGCUUAAUUGUCUGUACUGGUGAGAUAAAUCUCUACCUUCUGAGGAACUUUCAUGCCAUUUAUUUGGUGUGAUUGGAAAUCAGGACUAUUACUUUGAAAAAUUAGAGUGUUUAAAGCAGGCUAACGUCUGAAUAUAUUAGCAUGGAAUAAUGAAAUAGGACGGCUUGGUUCUAUUUCGUUGGUUUCUAGGAUCACCGUAAUGAUUAAUAGGGAUAGUUGGGGGCAUUAGUAUUCAAUUGUCAGAGGUGAAAUUCUUGGAUUUAUUGAAGACUAACUACUGCGAAAGCAUUUGCCAAGGAUGUUUUCAUUAAUCAAGAACGAAAGUUAGGGGAUCGAAGACGAUCAGAUACCGUCGUAGUCUUAACCAUAAACUAUGCCGACUAGGGAUCGGACGAAGUUAAUUUAUAAUGACGCGUUCGGCACCUUA